rnacentral:piRNA from 1 species
UUUAUUCGAAAGAGUUGGUUC